rnacentral:rRNA from 1 species
UACGUAGGGGGCAAGCGUUGUCCGGAUUUAUUGGGCGUAAAGCGCGCGCAGGCGGCGCUUUAAGUUGGGGGUUAAAGGCAGUGGCUCAACCAUUGUACGCCUCCAAAACUGGAGCGCUUGAGUGCAGGAGAGGAAAGCGGAAUUCCCGGUGUAGCGGUGGAAUGCGUAGAGAUCGGGAGGAACACCAGUGGCGAAGGCGGCUUUCUGGCCUGUAACUGACGCUGAGGCGCGAAAGCGUGGGGAGCAAACAGG